CCGUUGUGGUUGCCGAAGGCGGCAAAAUCAUAUAAAAGGGCUAUGGCUGUUUGUUUAUGCUAAAUCAUUCCAAAACUCACAAUGAAGGUCCUACUGUUCGUUAUUGUCGCCAUGGCUGCAGUUUUCUGGUCUCCAGUUGCUGCCCAAUUUUGCGAAGCUCCAUAUUCAUGUGUAAACCUUUGCGUGUUCGGUGCCGGUCCUGGAAUCUGCCCGUCUGGACAGACCUGUUGCGGAUUGGGAUUAGGCGGAAAGUAAGGCGGACGUUCACUACCAAAUUUCUGGCGAUUGUAUACGAUAAAUGGCUUUUUGAGUUAAACAUUCCAAUUAAAAUAAAUUUAUAAAAGUA